CCCCACUGGAUUCUCAUGUAAUCAAUAUUACCUGGGUGACUGUACUUGUAAUCUUAUUGGUUGGUCAUGGGUUUGUCCCACCUCAUGCCCACCUUGUAAAUUUCCAUUGGAUCUUAUAGUUUUGUCCCACUUUGUACCCACCUGCCCACAUGGCUUUGCUGUAUAAAACAUUUUCAAAUAGUGGGGUGGGCGGGCAACCCACUUUCAUGUCCCCCUUCUGUCUCUCUUAGGCAGAAACUUUCAAUAAAUUUUUCCUACUCUUAACCUCUGUUGUUCCUAGAAUUUAUUCUUCGAUUUCACAGAACACAAACUUGCGUUUCAGAGUAGGUUUGGGAGCUACAUCUCUUCCCCCUAUAUCACUAAUUCUUGGAAAUCAUGAAUGUUUCCAUAUGUGGCAAAGGCAUUUGUGGUAAAGGCAUUUGUGGUGAAGUUAACCAUCUUGAAAUGGGAGGUGAUGGUGAAUAUUCAGGUGGGCCCUAAAUGCAAUCACAGGUAACCAUUUAAAUGGAAAGCAGGUGAGAUUUGCCACAGACAGCAGUGGAGAAGAAACUGUGACUAUGGAGGAGGAGCUUAGACUGAUGCAGCAUAGAGCAAGGAAGCAGAAGCUGGAAUUAGCAAGGAAGGGCUUCCUCAGAGGCUUCAGAGAACACAGCAUCGCCAGUGCCUUGAUCCCUGCCCAGUGACAGUGGUUUCGGACUUCUGACUUCCAGAAUUAAUUAAUUGAGUACAGUCCCGACUCUUAACAGGAAAUACUAGAGAUCCUGAUCGCAGUAAAGGAUUUGGAUGGUGUCUUCAUCUAGACAGGAAGAUCUGGCUGCAACUGUCAUAUUACAAAGCAAACUCUUCUCACUGAAUUUGACUUCCCGUGUAAUAUCAUGAGACUUGCCCUUGGUAUGUCAAUGACAAACAUGUGUUUUAUAGGGAGCUGGUAUCUGGACACAGAAGAAGAAAAAUCACCAACAUCACAGAAAGAUGAUCACAUGAAGGCACAGUGACACCUGCAAGCUAUGCCAAGAGAGGCCUUAGUAAAAAGUGAAGCUUACUGACUCACUGCAUCUUGGACUUCCAGCCUUGGAAUCAAGAGAAAAUGCGCUUCUGUUGUUAAGCUACCCAGGCUUUGGUACUUGUUGUAAGAGCUGUGGAACACUAAUACAUGUGUUCUGCUCACUUAGAUAAUUUUUAUUUGAAACAAUGUUAUGUGGAUCUUUGUGCCUGACUACAAGUAUUAAUAUAUUUCAUUCUCAUAACUUGAUGACAUAGAUGCCCAUUUCACAGAGGAGGAAACAGAACCAGAGAGGGAUUGAAAAAUUUGCCUAUUAUCUCACUGUAGAGAUGAGACACACACACAGGCUUAAGAUUCCUUGCUACAAAUUUUAAAUUCAGUUUUGCUCAGAUCCCCCUAUUUAAGGGAUUGGAUAUUGACUUAGAGACUAUCAUAAACUGAGGGCCUAUGUGUUGAAGCUGUUUUCACAACUUAAGCUGUCUUUCUAAUAUCAGUGAAGCUAUUGUUUGUGGUAGAUGUCUAAGGUGUUAUCCUCUCCUCUCGUCCCUCCAUCUCACAUAUCCAUUGUUGGGGAUGCCAUGUGCCAGCAUGACUCUGAAAUUGCCCCUGAUCACACUGGAAUAGCCAGAGUAGAACUCCCAACUCAAUUUGAUCUUUGAAUUUCUUCCCAGAGAGUUCAUUUAAUGUUCCUUUAGCACCUACAACUGUGACAUCUGAAAAUUAAGUGUUCUAUCAACCAUCACCCAUGCAUUUGAUUAUGAGUAACAAAAGUGAUGAACGGGACAAAGCGGAGGAGCAGGGAGAUUUUCAGCAGAGUGUUCACAUCCCCAGUUCAAAUUGUUUCUUGUCUCCAGCUGCAUCUUUAAGCCUGAGUUUUAUAAAGUACUCUGAUAUGGUUAAAAAUAAGAUUUUCCUAUCCACUUAGCCAAUUUAAGUUAGUUUCAGCAUGUGGUUAUAAAAGCAGCUUAUCUAUUACAUCUAAUUCCCAGUAUCCUUGCUUUCAGUUGCUGAGUGCUCCUUUCUAAAGGACGGAAUUUCUAUUCCAGCCAUACAGACUUGUGUCAAAUUUGAUUUCAAUUUCUUUCUGAAAAUUUUUAGCACAUAGUGGAAAAAAGUGCAAUGAAUACUGAUUUGUCAAGUAAUCUCCCCUUGACUGACUCUGAGUGUGGCAGUGGAGAAGGUUUCAUUAGCCCCUUUGGCUUUAGGAAGGAAAAGGAUGGCCUGGGUGUUCUGUGAUGAUGUUCCAUUUCUUGAUACUUACUGUCUUAGUCUACUCAAGUGACAUUCUCAAAAUAUUAUAGACUGUGUUGUUUAAACAACAGAAAUUUACUUUCUCAGCUUUAGACCUUGGAAAUCCAAAAUCAAGGUUCGUACGGGAUUCAGUUCUGGAGAGUGCUCUCUUCCAGGACUGCAGAUGAAGCUUCUUGCUGUGUCUUCACACAGACAAGUGAAUAGAAUGAGUUGUUUGGUUUACUUUGUAUAAGGUCACUGUAAUACUGUAAUGGUUUAUAUCUAGAUGUCUCCCCAAAGCCUCAUGCACUCAUAGGUGGGGCUUUUGUAAAGUGACUAGAUCAUGGGUGUGUGCAACUCAUCCCUAGAUUAGUCCACUGAUAUGUUUAUAGCUGGGUUUGAUGCUGAGAGGUGAGGCCUGGUGGGAAGAGGUGGUUCACUGUAGGCAUUGCCUGGAAGGUUAUACAUCCCUCCUCCUCCCUUGAUCCCUCUCUUCUUCCUGACUAGCACACAAUAAGCAAGCCUCCUGUGCCAUGCCCCUUUGCCAUGCUGUCCUGCUUUGGACUGAAACUUUUACAAAUGGUGAACCCAAAACACUAUUCCUCUUUUAACUUGUGAGUGUUGAAUAUUUUGUUCCAGCAAGAAGAAAGUGACUAAGAUAGUCACUAAUUCUUUAGCAUCAGGAUGUUCUUUUUGUAAUUUAACCUUUAAUUACUUCCUGGCUCCUAAAUACAGCCACACCAGGGAUUAAAUUUUCAACUCAUGAACUUCGCAGAUGCUUAAUGCCAUCCAUAGCAUUCUCCUAAUGUGGAGUUAUGUGUUUCAUGAAGCUUUGUAAACUAUGUGUAUCUGUUCAACAAAUAUUGGUCAGUAUCUAUGUUUCAGGCUGUGGUAGAAGUGGAAGUAAAAUCGGAAAAAUAUAAGUUUUCCCCCUAAGGAGUUCUCCAUGUGGCAUGAGAGGCAGAUAACUAAGCACAUAGCUAUUGAACAUCUAGAAAGAUCUAGAAAGGGUCUCUGUAGGGCAAAGGGAUGGUGGAGGAAUGCAUAGGAUGGGGCAUUCAAGAAAGAUGGCACUGAGAAAGCAAUGCAGGGGAAGUUACAUGAGCUUCUCAGGAGGCAUCCUCAGAAGAUGGACAGGAGCUCAUAAGAUGGAAGAUUCAGAUAGCAAUACACACAAAGGCAGUGCAAAUGGGAUAGUAGAGUGAAUGAUACAGCUAAAUAUUGUUACUCAGCAGAGGGAGAGGUAGCUGAUAGGAGAAGAUGCUUGAGACUAAGCAAGAAUCAAGUCAAGGAAGACCUCUGUAAGUUGC
ensembl:lncRNA